rnacentral:rRNA from 1 species
GAUGAACGCUGGCGGCGUGCCUAAUACAUGCAAGUCGAGCGAACAGACGAGGAGCUUGCUCCUUUGACGUUCGCGGCGGACGGGUGAGUAACGCGUGGAUAACCUACCUAUAAGACUGGGAUAACUUCGGGAAACCGGAGCUAAUACCGGAUAACAUGUUGAACCGCAUGGUUCAACAGUGAAAGACGGUCUUGCUGUCACUUAUAGAUGGAUCCGCGCCGCAUUAGCUAGUUGGUAAGGUAACGGCUUACCAAGGCAACGAUGCGUAGCCGACCUGAGAGGGUGAUCGGCCACACUGGAACUGAGACACGGUCCAGACUCCUACGGGAGGCAGCAGUAGGGAAUCUUCCGCAAUGGGCGAAAGCCUGACGGAGCAACGCCGCGUGAGUGAAGAAGGUCUUCGGAUCGUAAAACUCUGUUAUUAGGGAAGAACAAAUGUGUAAGUAACUAUGCACGUCUUGACGGUACCUAAUCAGAAAGCCACGGCUAACUACGUG